GUAAAAUCAAGACUUUUACCUGAGUCUGGUAAAGUAAAAGCUUAAAUGUAUAAUAAUUCUUCCAGAGGACAUGCUCAGUCUAUUACUUGGAUUCUUCCACUAGAAGGCCCUUUUGGUUUUGAAAUUAUUUUUUUUGAGGCAAAGCACUGAUUGCUGCAGUUCAAUUGCUACCUGCAAGCUAAAUCCGAAUCCUGAAGGCAAUGGUUUUUGGACAUAGAAGUGGAACUGCAAGGGGGACCAAAAAAAGAAGAAGAAAAAAAAAAAAGACAGAAAAUAGAAGAAAUAGGAAAUGAUUAAAAAUUGAAUAAGAACAAAGGAGACUGAAUCUUUUACAAGGAUGACUGUGAACAACUAUGGCUGCAAAUACAAUUGUGAACCCAAGUCCACUCAGACACCAAAGGGAAAAUCCAUUGGAUUACCCAGUGCAUCGGAUUUAUGCCCGAAGAAGUUGGAAAGGAAGGUUGGAGUAAAGAUGAAUAGACUUGAACCCUAAUACUAAGACUUUUAGGAGAGAAGGCUGAAGGGUUUGUAAUUCAGUAGCAGUUAUGACUCAUAACAUUCAAUAAUAAUAACUCUUAAGAGUUAUUAUUAUAUGGUAUGCAAAAGUACUAACUGUAAAUUAGUAACAGUUGUGCAUUUAUUAGUUGUUUAAAUUACUGAUUUUAAAGUUAUCUUAUUUGUUUCUCAAUAGUAUGUUGCUUAAUCAAUAAAUGUUUUUGUGUUUAAUUGUUACUAUCAAGUUUGCAAUCUGAAGGUAGAGAAUCAAACUAUGACAACCAGAUAUUCCAUGGUGAAACCCAGACAGUUCUGCAUCACUUCUCAAGCCUUCACUCAUGAAGACAAAUCUUUUGGAGUGGUUGGAGAAAAUAAAAUGAAUCUCCCAAGAGAUAAAAGAUGAACCCUCCACAACCAAUUCAGAUACAAGACUUGGCAGCAUUGGCUGCGCAGCAACAGGAUGAAAGAACUGUCCCAGAAAUAAUCAGAACAUCAAGAUUAUGAAAUGACCUGAGGUAACAGAUGACAGCACCACCAAAAAAGACUACACAAAAGAAAAGAUGCAGUAAAGUGUAUUCCUUUCUCCUUUAUCACAGCAGGCCUUUUUUUCAGGUGUUUGAAGGACUGCUCAUUUCUCAUGCUGUGAAGUAUUGAAAAGAUUCAUCAGAAGACAUAUAAUUAACUGCAACAGGCAGUCAUCUUCAGAUAGUGAGGUAACAGACAUAUAAUUGCAAUCUGGCCUACCAAACCUACAGAUAGCUACAUUAAGCUCUAGAAUCCAG
ensembl:lncRNA